rnacentral:rRNA from 1 species
UACAGAGGUCUCAAGCGUUGUUCGGAUUCAUUGGGCGUAAAGGGUGCGUAGGUGCAUGGUAAGUCGGAUGUGAAAUCCCGGGGCUCAACCCCGGAACUGCAUUCGAUACUGCUGAGCUAGAGUACUGGAGAGGAGAUUGGAAUUUACGGUGUAGCAGUGAAAUGCGUAGAUAUCGUAAGGAAGACCAGUGGCGAAGGCGGAUCUCUGGACAGUUACUGACACUGAGGCACGAAGGCCAGGGGAGCAAACGGG